rnacentral:rRNA from 1 species
GACGAACGCUGGCGGCGCGCCUAACACAUGCAAGUCGAACGAGAGAUGAGGAGCUUGCUCUUCAAAUCGAGUGGCGAACGGGUGAGUAACGCGUGAGGAACCUGCCUCAAAGAGGGGGACAACAGUUGGAAACGACUGCUAAUACCGCAUAAGCCCACGGCUCGGCAUCGAGCAGAGGGAAAAGGAGCAAUCCGCUUUGAGAUGGCCUCGCGUCCGAUUAGCUAGUUGGUGAGGUAACGGCCCACCAAGGCGACGAUCGGUAGCCGGACUGAGAGGUUGAACGGCCACAUUGGGACUGAGACACGGCCCAGACUCCUACGGGAGGCAGCAGUGGGGAAUAUUGCACAAUGGGGGAAACCCUGAUGCAGCGACGCCGCGUGGAGGAAGAAGGUCUUCGGAUUGUAAACUCCUGUUGUUGAGGAAGAUAAUGACGGUACUCAACAAGGAAGUGACGGCUAACUACGUGCCAGCAGCCGCGGUAAAACGUAGGUCACAAGCGUUGUCCGGAAUUACUGGGUGUAAAGGGAGCGCAGGCGGGAGAACAAGUUGGAAGUGAAAUCCAUGGGCUCAACCCAUGAACUGCUUUCAAAACUGUUUUUCUUGAGUAGUGCAGAGGUAGGCGGAAUUCCCGGUGUAGCGGUGGAAUGCGUAGAUAUCGGGAGGAACACCAGUGGCGAAGGCGGCCUACUGGGCACCAACUGACGCUGAGGCUCGAAAGUGUGGGUAGCAAACAGGAUUAGAUACCCUGGUAGUCCACACCGUAAACGAUGAUUACUAGGUGUUGGAGGAUUGACCCCUUCAGUGCCGCAGUUAACACAAUAAGUAAUCCACCUGGGGAGUACGACCGCAAGGUUGAAACUCAAAGGAAUUGACGGGGGCUCGCACAAGCAGUGGAGUAUGUGGUUUAAUUCGACGCAACGCGAAGAACCUUACCAAGUCUUGACAUCCCUUGACGAUGCUGGAAACAGUAUUUCUCUUCGGAGCAAGGAGACAGGUGGUGCAUGGUUGUCGUCAGCUCGUGUCGUGAGAUGUUGGGUUAAGUCCCGCAACGAGCGCAACCCUUAUGGUCAGUUACUACGCAAGAGGACUCUGGCCAGACUGCCGUUGACAAAACGGAGGAAGGUGGGGAUGACGUCAAAUCAUCAUGCCCUUUAUGACUUGGGCUACACACGUACUACAAUGGCGUUAAACAAAGAGAAGCAAGACCGCGAGGUGGAGCAAAACUCAGAAACAACGUCCCAGUUCGGACUGCAGGCUGCAACUCGCCUGCUCGAAGUUCGGAAUUGCUAGUAAUCGUGGAAUCAGCGUGCCACGGUGAAAUACGUUCCCGGGCCUU